AAACAUGUCUUUAAGAUUAUAAUUUAAAGUCUAAUCUGCUCCAUGGAUUAUUAUAUUUAAAUAGCUGCAGAAUAUUAACUGUACAAAGGUAGCAUAAUCAAUAGUUUUUUAAUUAAAAGCUGGAAUGAAUGAUUUGAUAAGGUAAUUAUUGUCUCAAAUUUAAUAAAAUUAGAAUUUUUUUUUUAGUAAAAAUACUAAAUUGAAUUUAAAAGACGAGAAGACCCUAUAGAAUUUUAUAUUUUAAAUUAAAUUUAAUAUAAAUAAAAAAUUAUAUUUUAAUUAAAAAAUAUUAGGUUGGGGUAAUUAUUAAAUUAAUUAAAUUUUAAUAUAUUAUAAACAAUAAUUGUUGAUUUUUUGAUCUUAAAUUUUUGAAUUAUUAGAAUAAAUUACCUUAGGGAUAACAGCGUAAUUUUUUUGGAGAGAUCUAAUUGAUAAAAAAGUUUGCGACCUCGAUGUUGAAUUAAGAUAAAAUUUUAAUGAAGAAGUUAAAAAUUUUUGGUCUGUUCGACCAUUAAAAUCUUACAUGAUCUGAGUUCAAACCGGAGA
rnacentral:rRNA from 1 species